AAGAAUCCAUAGGCGUCUCAAAUGUCACAAUUGACACAUUAAGAGGUAACCUUAAGACUUAUGAAUCUAUAAUACUUAACCCUCUUGUUGAUGAUUAAAGGAGGCAAAAAUAGCGCUUAAGGCAAGCACAAGCCAACCUCAAGUUGAUGAGGACGGAGACAACGAGUUUGGAAUCAUUAUCAAAAGAUUUCAAAAGUUCAUGCGAAAGGAGUAUGAACGAAGGCAAAAAGCAAGGCGAGCAAAUAAAGUGCUAUAAAUGCGGUGAAACCGGGCACAUCAAAUCAAAUUGCCCAAACAUCAAAACGGAGAAGAAACCUUUUAAAAAGCAACGUGCAUACAUUUCUUGGGGAGGCGACUCCGGAGAUGAGUCAAGCGAAGGAGAAGAAGACGAAGCAGCAAAUCUNNNN
rnacentral:lncRNA from 1 species